rnacentral:rRNA from 1 species
CCUACGGGUGGCUGCAGUGAGGAAUAUUGGUCAAUGGACGAGAGUCUGAACCAGCCAAGUAGCGUGAAGGAUGACUGCCCUAUGGGUUGUAAACUUCUUUUAUAAAGGAAUAAAACGAGGCACGUGUGCCUUUUUGCAUGUACUUUAUGAAUAAGGAUCGGCUAACUCCGUGCCAGCAGCCGCGGUAAUACGGAGGAUCCGAGCGUUAUCCGGAUUUAUUGGGUUUAAAGGGAGCGUAGAUGGGUUGUUAAGUCAGUUGUGAAAGUUUGCGGCUCAACCGUAAAAUUGCAAUUGAUACUGGCAGUCUUGAGUACAGUUGAGGUAGGCGGAAUUCGUGGUGUAGCGGUGAAAUGCUUAGAUAUCACGAAGAACCCCGAUUGCGAAGGCAGCUUACUAAACUGUGACUGACAUUGAUGCUCGAAAGUGUGGGUAUCAAACAGGAUUAGAUACCCUUGUAGUC